rnacentral:rRNA from 1 species
UACGUAGGGGGCCAGCGUUGCUCGGAAUUACUGGGCGUAAAGGGUUCGUAGGCGGUGCGGCAAGUUGGGAGUGAAAUCUCUGGGCUUAACUCAGGGGCUGCUUUCAAAACUGCCGCGCUCGAGUGCGAGAGAGGUCAGUGGAAUUGCAGGUGUAGCGGUGGAAAUGCGUAGAUAUCUGCAGGAACACCCGUGGCCGAAGGCGGCUGACGUGGAUCGCAACUGACGCUGAGGAACGAAAGCUAGGGGAGCAAACAGG